UUUCGCCGCCUCCUGGGCGUGUGUGCGAGAGGGGGCGGGCAGCUGAAGCGGUGCGCUUGGACAAGGCACGCCCACCAGAGGCUCCCCGAGCUCGACUGACGCCCUCCAGCCUUCCGCCGUCUCGCGGCGCGCCUUCCUGAAAAGCGCUCAGGAGGAAACGAGCGGCGUCUACGCCAAAGAAACAUCGCCGGAGACAGACGCGCCCUCCCUCGGAAGGCGAAAGGCAGGGGGCCGCUUGGGCGCUGUGGGCUAAACCGAAACCCCCACUCCCAACCGCGCCGCCACCCUGGGCUCGAAGCACAGGUUGCUGCUCCACUCCCACCCGCACAUCCCAACAGACCGCCAGUAAAAUAAUUUUUUUUAAAGAGAGUCGCUGGGGCUGGGGGCGCUUGGAAAUGCGUGGAACCUCUCAGUUUGGCAAUUAAGCCAAAGGAAACGUGCGCGCGCGCACGCACACACACACACACACACACACACACAAAAAACAACAGGAAAUCUAACGCUUUAAUAGCGAAAGUUAUCAGUAAGGCAAAGUGCUGUAAUGGAAACGCGGGACUCUUCAGGAUCCAGAUGGGAAAACUCCUUUCCUUGAUUUACGAAUAUGAAUCGGUAAUCAAAUGUGAUUUGAGCAGGGCUGCUUGAAAAGUCCGCCUUACCCAAGGAGUAUGAAUGGGACUGAGAAGAAUGCUUUCUUUGGUUCCUAAGAAAACUUCCUUGCCAGGGAUGGAGAUGAUUCCAGAGGGGCAGUCUAUUCACCUUGAAACAACAACAGCAUCUAUGACUUAGCUGGACCAUAAAGAAGGCUGAUCGCUGAAGA